AUUGAACGCUGGCGGCAGGCCUAACACAUGCAAGUCGAGCGGUAGCACAGAGAGCUUGCUCUCGGGUGACGAGCGGCGGACGGGUGAGUAAUGUCUGGGAAACUGCCUGAUGGAGGGGGAUAACUACUGGAAACGGUAGCUAAUACCGCAUAAUGUCGCAAGACCAAAGAGGGGGACCUUCGGGCCUCUUGCCAUCAGAUGUGCCCAGAUGGGAUUAGCUAGUAGGUGGGGUAACGGCUCACCUAGGCAACGAUCCCUAGCUGGUCUGAGAGGAUGACCAGCCACACUGGAACUGAGACACGGUCCAGACUCCUACGGGAGGCAGCAGUGGGGAAUAUUGCACAAUGGGCGCAAGCCUGAUGCAGCCAUGCCGCGUGUAUGAAGAAGGCCUUCGGGUUGUAAAGUACUUUCAGCGGGGAGGAAGGUGCUGAGGUUAAUAACCUCAGCAAUUGACGUUACCCGCAGAAGAAGCACCGGCUAACUCCGUGCCAGCAGCCGCCGUAA
rnacentral:rRNA from 1 species